UGUGUUUUUUAUUGAACAAAUUUCUUUGGUGGCGGGAGCAAUCCUACCGCCAGAGGUUAUAACUAAACCAAACUUUUUAUUUACAGUCAAACUUGAUUUAUUAUUACAAUAGUCAAAACUUUCAACAACGGAUCUCUUGGUUCUCGCAUCGAUGAAGAACGCAGCGAAAUGCGAUACGUAAUAUGAAUUGCAGAUAUUCGUGAAUCAUCGAAUCUUUGAACGCACAUUGCGCCCUUUGGUAUUCCAAAGGGCAUGCCUGUUUGAGCGUCAUUUCUCCCUCAAACCCCCGGGUUUGGUGUUGAGCAAUACGCUAGGUUUGUUUGAAAGAAUUUAACGUGGAAACUUAUUUUAAGCGACUUAGGUUUAUCCAAAACGCUUAUUUUGCUAGUGGCCACCACAAUUUAUUUCAUAACUUUGACCUCAAAUCAGGGAGGAAUACCCGCUGAACUUAAGCAUAUCAAUUAACCGGGAGGA
rnacentral:rRNA from 1 species